rnacentral:rRNA from 1 species
GACGAACGCUGGCGGCGUGCUUAACACAUGCCAGUCGAACGGAAAGGCCCUGCUUUUGUGGGGUGCUCGAGUGGCGAACGGGUGAGUAACACGUGAGUAACCUGCCCUUGACUUUGGGAUAACUUCAGGAAACUGGGGCUAAUACCGGAUAGGAGCUCCUGCUGCAUGGUGGGGGUUGGAAAGUUUCGGCGGUUGGGGAUGGACUCGCGGCUUAUCAGCCUGUUGGUGGGGUAGUGGCUUACCAAGGCCUUGACGGGUAGCCGGCCUGAGAGGGUGACCGGCCACAUUGGGACUGAGAUACGGCCCAGACUCCUACGGGAGGCAGCAGUGGGGAAUAUUGCACAAUGGGCGGAAGCCUGAUGCAGCAACGCCGCGUGCGGGAUGACGGCCUUCGGGUUGUAAACCGCUUUCGCCUGUGACGAAGCGUGAGUGACGGUAAUGGGUAAAGAAGCACCGGCUAACUACGUG